rnacentral:tRNA from 1 species
GAGGGUAUAGCUCAAGUGGUAAAGCACAUACUUACCAUGCAUGAGGUCCUGGGUUCAAUCCCCAGUACCUCCU